rnacentral:rRNA from 1 species
UGACCUCGGAUCAGGCGGGGAUACCCGCUGAACUUAA